AGUAAUUAUUGUUCAUUCAGAUUACCAUCUUAAUCUGAUAAAAAGCCAAACGCUAUAGUGGUAUAAUAGCUUUCAGAGAUAUAUACUUUUGAAAGUUUGAAAUCGAAACCUUCCGCCGGGAAGGCUUAUAUAUAAAUCGGACAAGUUGCGUCUUUAAUCAUUCAAGUACUAACCUCCACAAUUUGGUUCUGUUGUUCUUAUUGGAAGAAAGACUUAAGCUAACUCGCAUUCAAAACAUUUGAUCCUUUAAGAUGACAUCAACGAAAUUCAUUUUGGCAAUUUUUUUCUUGGCAAUGAUAACAAGCUACACUUACGCAGCGAAAAAUUGCCCACAUACGCCAAGAUGUCGUUCAGUCUACGAUAGAUGUCUUCAGUAUUCCCAAGGCUUUGCAGCGUCGACGGCUUGCCAAGAAUCUUUCAAAAGUUGUAUGAGUCCCUGUACUUCGGGCAAAAGGAGUUUCUAUCCUUAUGAAAUAAACCCCCGAUUCAGACGAGAAUGGAGCAUGUAACAAGUUGAAGAAAGAACAGAAACGUACAAAUAUAACAAAUUAGAACUGACAUAGAAUUAUUUAGAUAUAUAUUUAAAGUAAUUAUCGUAACCAGACUUGUUCGUACAGCUAAUUGAAUAAUUUAAAUUUUAGGCCUAGAUUAUCCACUAAUAAUAAAUUACAUUAGAUCAGA